GAUUCUCAGUUAUGUUUCCCACUCCAGGAGAAUGUGACUUCCUGUUUGAAAUGGAGGAGGGCUUUGUCCCAACACAUGAUGAUCUUCACAGGCUGACAUUCUGGUCUCUUCAUUACACAGGAAUGACGCCUGAAGCUGAAGUGAUUAACACAAUGUUACACGACUGAAAGCUGAGGCAAGGGGCCAAUGUGGAGCCAUGGGAGGCUGUCAUCACUCAAUAUUAAUUGAUCCUACUUUUCAUCCAUAAAGCAGGGACUGAAACAAAUUUUUGGUCACAAAAAUGGCAACUAUUACACUAUUAAGUUUCUAGAUUGGCAAGAAACAGUGGUAAGAAAAGAAACAGUUGGAUCACCAGUCUGUGGGAUAUGGAAGGCAAUCCAGAAAAACCUCAACGUCCUUCUCCCCAUUCCUUGCACACCUUUACGCAUCAUUUCAGCCUGGGCUAUUAGAAACAGCAUCAGUAACUUUUCUUUCACACACUUCAUCUUGACCAUUUCUCACCAAGCAAGCCAUGAUGGACUGAAGACCUGUGAGCCCAUGCCCAGGGCAUCUUUGAUGCAUCUAUUAAGGCCUUAAAAGCUCAGCCUGUUGGCAUCAGCAGCCCUGAUGAGUCCACUCACCCCCAGGAAGCUCGUUUGAUUGAGGUACCUUUUCCAAGCUGCAGUUUGGUUGGUGGGCCCAAAGAUUAGAUUUCGUUUAGGAUUUCCAGGGCCCCCUGCACCUACCAAACAGCAGACAAGUCUCUAGCCAUGCAAGGUGCAGCAGGCCAAAGGCAAAUAAUGGUAAAUCAUGGCAGAUGCUUCUCCAAGAUAACACAGAGACUCUAUUAGGGCUAUACCCAAGCUGGCCUGGUUUCCAGAUAUAGGAGAACAGACACCAGACUAGGACAUUAAAAACUCCAGAAUUUGGUGGGAUGUUUCAGACACUGUUCCCUACAUUGAGAGACCUCACCAUCUUGUUCACCAUUGCAUGCUCAAUACAGAGCCUGAAAAAGAGUAGAUAAUCAAUAAAUAUUGAAUGGAUCAAUUUUGUUAA